rnacentral:rRNA from 1 species
AGUGAUUUAGUUUAACGGCCGCGGUAUCUUGACCGUGCAAAGGUAGCACAAUUUAAUUGUCCUCUAAAUAAGGACUAGUAUGAACGGCAUCACGAGGGUUUAACUGUCUCCCUACUUUAAUCAAUAAAAUUGAUCUUCCCGUGAAGAAGCGGGAAUAUAAAUAUAAGACGAAAAGACCCCAUGGAGCUUUAAACUUAUCAUCACUUAUCAAAAACUUUAACAUACAUUGAUAAAUAUGAGAGAUAGUUUUCGGUUGGGGCGACCCUGGAGAAAAACUAAUCCUCCAAGCUGUAAAAUAUAAAUAUGCUAGAACAACCACUCAAACAAUCAAAACCUUGACAAAAUGACCCAGAAUAUAUCUGAUCAACGAACCAAGUUACCCUGGGGAUAACAGCGCAAUCCAUUUCAAGAGCCCCUAUCGACAAAUGGGUUUACGACCUCGAUGUUGGAU